AUACGGAGGAUCCGAGCGUUAUCCGGAUUUAUUGGGUUUAAAGGGUGCGCAGGCGGCCAUUUAAGUCAGCGGUUAAAUCGUGGGGCUCAACCCCAUUCUGCCGUUGAUACUGGGUGGCUUGAUUGCGGUCGAGGUUGGCGGAAUUCGUUGUGUAGCGGUGAAAUGCAUAGAUAUGACGAAGAACACCGAUUGCGUAGGCAUCUGGCCAGACCGCAAAUGACGCUCAUGCACGAAAGUGCGGGGAUCGAACAGGAUUAGAUACCCUGGUAGUCCGCACAGUAAACGAUGAAUACUUGUUUUCGGCGAUAUAAUGUCGGAGGCAAAGCGAAAGCGAUAAGUAUUCCACCUGGGGAGUACGCCGGCAACGGUGAAACUCAAAGGAAUUGACGGGG
rnacentral:rRNA from 1 species